CCCUUAGAUGUUCUGGGCCGCACGCGUGCUACACUGAGUGGAUCAGCGGGUCAGGUUGCGCGAAAGCGUUUCCUAAUCUUUAAAUCCGCUCGUGAUGGGGAUUGACGGUUGCAAUUUUCUGUCAUGAACGAGGAAUACCUUGUAAGCGCGGGUCAUCAUCCCGCGCUGAAUACGUCCCUGCCCUUUGUACACACCGCCCGUCGCUCCUACCGAUUGAGUGGUCCGGUGAGGCUUUGGGAUCUGAGCGGAAAGAGCGUUUCGCUGUUUCUGCUCGGAAAACUCAGUCGAACCUUAUCAUUAGAGGAAGGAGAAGUCGUAACA
rnacentral:rRNA from 1 species